AAACCAACAACAGAAAAAAAAGAGGGAGAAGAAAAAGAAGAAGAAGAAGAAAAACUCCCUCCUCGUUCAAUCUUUGUGGCUUUGUUCUUUUUUGUCUUCUU
rnacentral:ribozyme from 13 species